UGAACCAAGACAAAUAAUGAUAAGUCAUACCAUGUGGUUCUUGCGAAAAUGUUAGCUUUGCACGUAAGGUAUGUUCUGAUCCACCAACAAUCUGGUGCACAUUGAAUCUAUACUAUUAGCAUUUAAUGGUUGAUACGCUCACUAGACAUUCAUAAGAGAAUAAAAAAUCAUGCCUUUUUUAAGCCCCAUUCAAUUCUCUUAUUUGCUUCCCUGAAGUCGGUUGUGUUUCCAACUGCACCAGGUUCCAACUCA